rnacentral:lncRNA from 1 species
AAUGCAUUUGCUUUCAGCCGCAGAGAGAAGAAGCUGCCCAAGAAUGGAAAGGAAGAAAUAUAUCACAUCAUCUGUCUGUCCACAGGCUUUCCUUGGGGCUUAUGAAGUGAAUGAAGGAGGGAAGAAAGGAGAGACAGAGAAAAUAUGGAUUUCCUCAUGGUUGUGAUUCCUCUUCACUCUUUUGAAUUUGGAAGGAUGGCAUACACAUCUGAAAAAUACCACUACUUCCUUCAUUGGACUGCAAGGUAUUUCUGUUUGGAAAAGUAAUGGAGUCCAGUCAACUUCAUUGAUCGCCAAGGACUGUCAAAAUUAUAAAACUUGCUGUGGAGCUCUGACAUGCCAGAAGCCGCUAGAAAAAGAAGUUUGACAUUCAGAAACUUAUCAAGAGGUUCUACUCUUUGGAUAGAGACCAAAAUCAUACUUUGAAAAAGCCUGACAGGUUUCUUCGGAAAAGUGGCCAUCCAUGGAAUGAAUGAAAUGUUCUCUUUCUAUUCCAGGGAUUGCAGUGGCAAAGCUAGGCUAGGUCUUGGAGGCUGGUGUAAGGCGAUGUGGGUGAAGGCAGGAGGCUGAUGGAAAGACUGGGGGGAAGAAAAGCCGAAAUGGAUUCACGGUGCCUUGGAUGAAGGACGAGAGGGGAACUGCAAGCUCCUUCAACUGGUUCUGUCCGGUGAGAAGUGAUCAAGCUUGGGCUGACAAGAGGCUCAGGGAGCCCUCACGUUCUUUCGCUUUUUUACCUGCCAAUCAAACUGCUACAAGACAACACCCUGAUCUGGCAUGGACAUAUCCAACUUAGAAAUAAUGUUUCAUUCAAGAUAAGGCUCGUGGCUUAGGAGAUUGUGACCUGGCUUGCAUCAUUCUAAGACUUCUAUCGUCUGUUUUCAAAACCCAAGGAGGACCUCCUUUUCUGUGUGAUAGUUCCUCAUGCUUUGCCAGCCACUGGGUCUUUAAGGAAGCUUGCCAAGAGUUCCCGGCUGGGAAGGACAGUUCGAGUUCAUCAUAGACAAUGAGCUGGCACCACAGUUUAAGUGACUCACCAACCUGGUUGCCCACUUCAAAAUGUCAAGAACCACACUAUCUAAUUGAAAGAACUGUGUUUUAGCAAAGUGUAAUUGGAUCGCCUGGCAAGAUCAUCUCAAACUAUGUCUCUGACCUUGCCUUUCAGUGGCUAUUUUGAGCACAAGAGGAGAAAGGAAAUGAUUCCUGAAUUAUAUCUUGUUUUUAAAAAUUAAGAUUAAUUAA